rnacentral:misc_RNA from 1 species
GAUGAAGAACGUAGCGAAAUGCGAUACGUAAUGCGAAUUGCAGAUUCAGCGAGUCAUCGAAUCUUUGAACGCACAUUGCGCCCCCUGGUAUUCCGGGGGGCAUGCCUGUCCGAGCGUCAUUGCUGCCCUCAAGCACGGCUUGUGUGUUGGGCCUCCGUCCUCCUCCCGGGGGACGGGCCCGAAAGGCAGCGGCGGCACCGCGUCCGGUCCUCGAGCGUAUGGGGCUUCGUCACCCGCUCUUGUAGGCCCGGCCGGCGCUUGCCGACACAUCAAUCUUUUUUCCAGGUUGACCUCGGAUCAGGUAGGGAUACCCGCUGAACUUAAGCAUAUCAAUAAGCGGAGGA